rnacentral:rRNA from 1 species
CGUGAAAUUGUUGAAAGGGAAGCGCUCAUGACCAGACGUGGGCUUGGUUGAUCAUCCAGGGUUCUCCCUGGUGCACUCUUCCAGCCCAGGCACGACACAGGUGUCUGCUGGGGAUAAAGGCUUUGGGAAUGUGGCUCCUCCGGGAGUGUUAUAGCCCAUUGUGUAAUACCCUGUGGUGGACUGAGGUUCGCGCAUCUGCAAGGAUGCUGGCGUAAUGGUCAUCAGCGAC